UUAUUGGCUCAUCGGAUGCUCUUAUCCAAUCAGAAUCUGGCCAAGUUCACUCCUUGGUAACUUAAUCUCUUUUGUGCAGUUCCAGAACCUGCUUCAUUGACUCCUGUCCUGUCAUGUCCAAACCAACUUCAAAGGACAGUGUUUAAGCCGCCAGCCAGUGCAAAAGAAUAA
ensembl:lncRNA